CAUUCUGUUAUUUCUUGUUUUCAAUGUGUUGUAUUUUAUUUUUGUUUGUUGUUCAACAAUAUUGUUGAGUGUUUGUGAAUUUUAUUUUAAUGAGCCAUUUUUAUUUAAUUUAGCGGUAUUUUUAAAAUUCUGUUUCCUGCGGAAAUUGCUUUCCAUCUAUUGCACUUCCUGUUCCUGAGUCCGUCUCUCCCUCACAAUGGUUUGGUAUUGCUGACGGAAGUGCAAAGACGGACCAGAAGGCAAUAGGUGUGUUUCAUUGUCUUCUGCAGGUAUGUGUUUCCCUUUUGUUCAAGGUUGGAAUUUUCGUUGGUUCUGUUUAAAUUACUUUAGCUCAUGCAGUUAUUUGUUUUGUCCAUUGGGGGUCGCUGUUUUCCCCUUGUAUGUUACAUGUUUUUGAUAAAUUGUUAUUUGUGUUUAGUGUGGUCCUGUCUCCCACACAAUGGUUUGGUAUUGCUGACGGAAGUGCAAAGACGGACCAGAAGGCAAUAAGUGUGUUUCAUUGUCUUCUGCAGCAUAAAUAAAUGCUGGGAAAAUCCAC